AUUGAACGCUGGCGGCAGGCCUAACACAUGCAAGUCGAGCGGGGUUUUCGGACCUAGCGGCGGACGGGUGAGUAAUGCGUAGGAAGCUACCCGAUAGAGGGGGAUACCAGUUGGAAACGACUGUUAAUACCGCAUAAUGUCUACGGACCAAAGUGUGGGACCUUCGGGCCACAUGCUAUCGGAUGCGCCUACGUGGGAUUAGCUAGUUGGUGAGGUAAUGGCUCACCAAGGCGACGACCCCUAGCUGGUUGGAGAGGAUGCUCAGUCACACUGGAACUGAGACACGGUCCAGAGUCCUACGGGAGGCAGCAGUGGGGAAUAUUGGACAAAGGGCGCAAGCCUGAUCCAGCCAUGCAGCGUGGGUGAAGAAGGCCUUCGGGUUGUAAAGCACUUUCAGUAGGGAGGAAGCGUUGUGUGUUAAUAGUACACAGCGUUGACGUUACCUACAGAAGAAGCACCGGCUAACUCUGUGCCAGCCGCCGCGGUAAGAC
rnacentral:rRNA from 1 species